rfam:Stereum hirsutum FP-91666 SS1 unplaced genomic scaffold STEHIscaffold_24, whole genome shotgun sequence.
AGCUCGAUAGCGCAACGGUAGCGCGUCUGUUUCUGAUCCUGGAUUGAUGUGGACCUUAUGGUUGACGGAAGAUCUCGGUUCGACUCCGAGUCGAGCUA